AUUAAACGCUGGCGGCAUGCCUUACACAUGCAAGUCGAACGGUAACAGGUCUUCGGAUGCUGACGAGUGGCGAACGGGUGAGUAAUACAUCGGAACGUGCCCAGACGUGGGGGAUAACGAGGCGAAAGCUUUGCUAAUACCGCAUACGAUCUAAGGAUGAAAGCAGGGGACCGCAAGGCCUUGCGCGUUUGGAGCGGCCGAUGGCAGAUUAGGUAGUUGGUGGGAUUAAAGCUUACCAAGCCGACGAUCUGUAGCUGGUCUGAGAGGACGACCAGCCACACUGGGACUGAGACACGGCCCAGACUCCUACGGGAGGCAGCAGUGGGGAAUUUUGGACAAUGGGCGAAAGCCUGAUCCAGCAAUGCCGCGUGCAGGAUGAAGGCCUUCGGGUUGUAAACUGCUUUUGUACGGAACGAAAAGGCUCUGGCUAAUACCUGGGGCACAUGACGGUACCGUAAGAAUAAGCACCGGCUAACUACGUG
rnacentral:rRNA from 1 species